rnacentral:rRNA from 1 species
AUUGAACGCUGGCGGCAUGCCUUACACAUGCGAGUCGAACGGUAACAGAUCUUCGGAUGCUGACGAGUGGCGAACGGGUGAGUAAUACAUCGGAACGUGCCUAGUAGUGGGGGAUAACUACUCGAAAGAGUGGCUAAUACCGCAUGAGAUCUACGGAUGAAAGCAGGGGAUUGCAAGACCUUGUGCUACUAGAGCGGCCGAUGGCAGAUUAGGUAGUUGGUGGGAUAAAAGCUUACCAAGCCGACGAUCUGUAGCUGGUCUGAGAGGACGAUCAGCCACACUGGGACUGAGACACGGCCCAGACUCCGACGGGAGGCAGCAGUGGGGAAUUUUGGACAAUGGGCGAAAGCCUGAUCCAGCCAUGCCGCGUGCAGGAUGAAGGCCUUCGGGUUGUAAACUGCUUUUGUACGGAACGAAAAGCCUCUUUCUAAUAAAGAGAGGUCAUGACGGUACCGUAAGAAUAAGCACCGGCUAACUACGUGCCAGCCGCCGCCGUAACAC